AUUGAACGCUGGCGGCAUGCUUUACACAUGCAAGUCGAACGGUAACAGGCCGCAAGGUGCUGACGAGUGGCGAACGGGUGAGUAAUGCAUCGGAACGUGCCCAGUCGUGGGGGAUAACUACUCGAAAGAGUAGCUAAUACCGCAUACGAUCUAUGGAUGAAAGCGGGGGACCGUAAGGCCUCGCGCGAUUGGAGCGGCCGAUGUCAGAUUAGGUAGUUGGUGGGGUAAAGGCUCACCAAGCCAACGAUCUGUAGCUGGUCUGAGAGGACGACCAGCCACACUGGGACUGAGACACGGCCCAGACUCCUACGGGAGGCAGCAGUGGGGAAUUUUAGACAAUGGGCGCAAGCCUGAUCCAGCAAUGCCGCGUGCAGGAAGAAGGCCUUCGGGUUGUAAACUGCUUUUGUACGGAACGAAACGGCUCUGGUUAAUACCCGGGGCUAAUGACGGUACCGUAAGAAUAAGCACCGGCUAACUACGUG
rnacentral:rRNA from 1 species